rnacentral:rRNA from 1 species
GAUGAACGCUAGCGGCAGGCCUAACACAUGCAAGUCGAGGGGUAUAGUUCUUCGGAACUAGAGACCGGCGCACGGGUGCGUAACGCGUAUGCAAUCUACCUUUUACAGGGGAAUAGCCCAGAGAAAUUUGGAUUAAUGCCCCAUAGUGCUAUAGAAUCGCAUGGUUUAUUAACUAAAGUUCCAACGGUAAAAGAUGAGGCAUGCGUCCCAUUAGUUAGUUGGUAAGGUAACGGCUUACCAAGACAAUGAUGGGUAGGGGUCCUGAGAGGGAGAUCCCCCACCACUGGUACGUGAGACACGGACCAGACUCCUACGGGAGGCAGCAGUGAGGAAUAUUGGACAAU